GGAGUGGUGGCUCAGUGGUAAAGCGCUUGCCUAGCAUGCAUGAGGCACUGGGUUCGAUUCUCAGCACUGCA
rnacentral:tRNA from 1 species